rnacentral:ncRNA from 2 species
CGUAGAAUGCCCGCUGUUGGUGCUCGCCGCAUGGUUCACAUGCUGCAGUUCAACGGGAAGCAGGGGGAAGUCAACGCCAUGCGCGCCGGGUCAACCGGUUUGCCAAGCGCUGCGACCUCUAACCUGCGCUGCCCCCGCAACGGUAAACGGACGAAUGCAGCGCCCUGAGCAAGUCAGUGCCGCAUUCAGUUUUCAUCAUGAGUCACUGAGCGUUUUGAACACGCGCUUGGGAAGGCGAUGAAAGCAGUUCCGCGAGCCCGGAUACCGGCCAACAAGGUGAAGGCGCA